rnacentral:rRNA from 1 species
CCGCAGCCGCGGGAAUACGUAGGUGGCAAGCGUUGUCCGGAACUAUUGGGCGUAAAGGGCUCGCAGGCGGUUUCUUAAGUCUGAUGUGAAAGGACAGGGCUUAACCCUGUGAAAGCGGCGGAAACUGAAGAACUUGAGCGAGGUAGGGGCAGGGGGAACUCCCGGUGAAGCGGUGAAAUGCGCAGAUAUCAGGAGGAACACCGGUGGCGAAGGCGGGUCUCUGGGCCGAUAUUGACGCUGAGGAGCGAAAGCGUGGGGAGCGAACAGGAUUAGAUACCCCUGUAGUCCCUGUCUCUUAUAC